UAAGUUGUUGUGGUUAGAAAGCUCGUAGUUGAACCUUGGGCCUGGCUGGCCGGUCCGCCUCACCGCGUGUACUGGUCCGGCCGGGCCUUUCCCUCUGUGGAACCCCAUGCCCUUCACUGGGUGUGGCGGGGAAACAGGACUUUUACUUUGAAAAAAUUAGAGUGCUCCAGGCAGGCCUAUGCUCGAAUACAUUAGCAUGGAAUAAUAGAAUAGGACGUGUGGUUCUAUUUUGUUGGUUUCUAGGACCGCCGUAAUGAUUAAUAGGGACAGUCGGGGGCAUCAGUAUUCAAUUGUCAGAGGUGAAAUUCUUGGAUUUAUUGAAGACUAACUACUGCGAAAGCAUUUGCCAAGGAUGUUUUCAUUAAUCAGGAACGAAAGUUAGGGGAUCGAAGACGAUCAGAUACCGUCGUAGUCUUAACCAUAAACUAUGCCGACUAGGGAUCGGACGAUGUUAUUUUUUGACUCGUUCGGCAC
rnacentral:rRNA from 1 species